CAGUCGCCGCGGGAAUACGAAGGGGGCUAGCGUUGCUCGGAAUGACUGGGCGUAAAGGGCGCGUAGGCGGCAUACACAGUCAGAUGUGAAAUUCCUGGGCUUAACCUGGGGGCUGCAUUUGAUACGUGUGGGCUAGAGUGGGGAAGAGGGUUGUGGAAUUCCCAGUGUAGAGGUGAAACUCGUAGAUAUUGGGAAGAACACCGGUGGCGAAGGCGGCAACCUGGUCCUUGACUGACGCUGAGGCGCGAAAGCGUGGGGAGCAAACAGGAUUAGAUACCCCGGUAGUCCCUGUCUCUUAUAC
rnacentral:rRNA from 1 species